rnacentral:rRNA from 1 species
CGUACAAGCAGUGGGAGCACAGAGCAAUCUGUGUGACUGCGUACCUUUUGUAUAAUGGGUCAGCGACUUAUAUUCUGUAGCAAGGUUAACCGAAUAGGGGAGCCGAAGGGAAACCGAGUCUUAACUGGGCGUUAAGUUGCAGGGUAUAGACCCGAAACCCGGUGAUCUAGCCAUGGGCAGGUUGAAGGUUGGGUAACACUAACUGGAGGACCGAACCGACUAAUGUUGAAAAAUUAGCGGAUGACUUGUGGCUGGGGGUGAAAGGCCAAUCAAACCGGGAGAUAGCUGGUUCUCCCCGAAAGCUAUUUAGGUAGCGCCUCGUGAAUUCAUCUCCGGGGGUAGAGCACUGUUUCGGCAAGGGGGUCAUCCCGACUUACCAACCCGAUGCAAACUGCGAAUACCGGAGAAUGUUAUCACGGGAGACACACGGCGGGUGCUAACGUCCGUCGUGAAGAGGGAAACAACCCAGACCGCCAGCUAAGGUCCCAAAGUCAUGGUUAAGUGGGAAACGAUGUGGGAAGGCCCAGACAGCCAGGAUGUUGGCUUAGAAGCAGCCAUCAUUUAAAGAAAGCGUAAUAGCUCACUGGUCGAGUCGGCCUGCGCGGAAGAUGUAACGGGGCUAAACCAUGCACCGAAGCUGCGGCAGCGACGCUGAUGCGUUGUUGGGUAGGGGAGCGUUCUGUAAGCCUGUGAAGGUGUGCUGUGAGGCAUGCUGGAGGUAUCAGAAGUGCGAAUGCUGACAUAAGUAACGAUAAAGCGGGUGAAAAGCCCGCUCGCCGGAAGACCAAGGGUUCCUGUCCAACGUUAAUCGGGGCAGGGUGAGUCGACCCCUAAGGCGAGGCCGAAAGGCGUAGUCGAUGGGAAACAGGUUAAUAUUCCUGUACUUGGUGUUACUGCGAAGGGGGGACGGAGAAGGCUAUGUUGGCCGGGCGACGGUUGUCCCGGUUUAAGCGUGUAGGCUGGUUUUCCAGGCAAAUCCGGAAAACUAAGGCUGAGGCGUGAUGACGAGGCACUACGGUGCUGAAGCAACAAAUGCCCUGCUUCCAGGAAAAGCCUCUAAGCAUCAGGUAACAUCAAAUCGUACCCCAAACCGACACAGGUGGUCAGGUAGAGAAUACCAAGGCGCUUGAGAGAACUCGGGUGAAGGAACUAGGCAAAAUGGUGCCGUAACUUCGGGAGAAGGCACGCUGAUAUGUAGGUGAAGUCCCUCGCGGAUGGAGCUGAAAUCAGUCGAAGAUACCAGCUGGCUGCAACUGUUUAUUAAAAACACAGCACUGUGCAAACACGAAAGUGGACGUAUACGGUGUGACGCCUGCCCGGUGCCGGAAGGUUAAUUGAUGGGGUCAGCGCAAGCGAAGCUCUUGAUCGAAGCCCCGGUAAACGGCGGCCGUAACUAUAACGGUCCUAAGGUAGCGAAAUUCCUUGUCGGGUAAGUUCCGACCUGCACGAAUGGCGUAAUGAUGGCCAGGCUGUCUCCACCCGAGACUCAGUGAAAUUGAACUCGCUGUGAAGAUGCAGUGUACCCGCGGCAAGACGGAAAGACCCCGUGAACCUUUACUAUAGCUUGACACUGAACAUUGAGCCUUGAUGUGUAGGAUAGGUGGGAGGCUUUGAAGUGUGGACGCCAGUCUGCAUGGAGCCGACCUUGAAAUACCACCCUUUAAUGUUUGAUGUUCUAACGUUGACCCGUAAUCCGGGUUGCGGACAGUGUCUGGUGGGUAGUUUGACUGGGGCGGUCUCCUCCUAAAGAGUAACGGAGGAGCACGAAGGUUGGCUAAUCCUGGUCGGACAUCAGGAGGUUAGUGCAAUGGCAUAAGCCAGCUUGACUGCGAGCGUGACGGCGCGAGCAGGUGCGAAAGCAGGUCAUAGUGAUCCGGUGGUUCUGAAUGGAAGGGCCAUCGCUCAACGGAUAAAAGGUACUCCGGGGAUAACAGGCUGAUACCGCCCAAGAGUUCAUAUCGACGGCGGUGUUUGGCACCUCGAUGUCGGCUCAUCACAUCCUGGGGCUGAAGUAGGUCCCAAGGGUAUGGCUGUUCGCCAUUUAAAGUGGUACGCGAGCUGGGUUUAGAACGUCGUGAGACAGUUCGGUCCCUAUCUGCCGUGGGCGCUGGAGAACUGAGGGGGGCUGCUCCUAGUACGAGAGGACCGGAGUGGACGCAUCACUGGUGUUCGGGUUGUCAUGCCAAUGGCACUGCCCGGUAGCUAAAUGCGGAAGAGAUAAGUGCUGAAAGCAUCUAAGCACGAAACUUGCCCCGAGAUGAGUUCUCCCUGACUCCUUGAGAGUCCUGAAGGAACGUUGAAG